CGCUGCGGAACGCACCCGUACGUUCCCACGUUCGGGACGUGGGGGUCGCAGGUUCAAAUCCUGCCACUCCGACCA
rnacentral:tRNA from 1 species